AGAAUGGAGGAGCCAGUGACAAGACAAGUGAGGCCCCUGGAGAAGGGGACAAAGUACCCUGUAUGAAGCGCAGGGUCACUGGGAUGUAUGGCAGGUCCUGCUCUACAGCCCUGACUAAAACUCAGGGGAUAAGCCACCUCAAAGUUUCACAAAUGAGUGCCUGAGGCAAGGUGGAAAGUUCCCAGUGUCAGCGGCAUACUCUGAUUCACCAAGGGCAGGAUCUGAGAAGGCUGAUGGGAAGCGAGGCUGACACGCUUGCUGGAGAAAACUGCAUUAGAUGAGUCAGAGCGGCUCGGGGGAUAAUGAUGACGCCGACGCCAAAGACACCAAAGGAAGCUUGGUGAUACUGCUUUGUGAGAGGUAGGAAGGAAAACAACUCGAUUUCAUGAAAUUAAUUCCUAUGAGAUUUUAAAUAUGAAUGUGCAACUGAAUUAAAGUUCUAUUCGAAGAAUAAAAGUGGAGAAACAGUACUUUGGGAAGAAACGUCUCAGAUUUUAAAACACCCUACUUGACAGAGAGAGAGUGCAAUGGCUCCUCACAGGGGCAGCUGUGGGGAGGACACCUCCCAGGAAGAAGCCCCAGGCUGCGGCAGCCUCAGCCAGCGAGCCCCAGGAUUCUCCUGAGUAGCAAAGGGAUGAACUGAGGGUCCAAACAGGCAGCAGGUGACACUCCCACUGAGACCUCUGACUGACCAGCACAGGGUAGAACAUUCAGGACUCAGAGAAGCAAACCUGCCUGCCUGCAUUCUCCCUAUCACUGGCAAAGCCAGUAGCGGUGCUCAGGCCGGCUAACUGAUCUACCUCGCUGCCUGAGGCCAGGACCACAUAGCCUCUGCCUCCUGUCUUGUGUGGGGUGGAGGGGUGGACCUGAGACCAGGACCACAUAGCCUCCACCUCCUUCUUGUGCUGAGCUCUCAACACUUUGCUCAUAUGCACCAGUGGCUUCAACACUUUGGUUUGAGCACAUGACAGAUGCUUCCUGAAGGGAAAGUGACCUUAGGGAAUGUUCCCAGGAGAACAGUGAUCCCUCUCUGGCAGGGGGACCAGGGGAAUAAGGGAAGAACACUGGGUCUUCUCAAGAGAACCUCCUACCCUUCAAAGAACCAUCAGGAUCAGAAUGGCAGUCAGAAUAGGCACCGGUUGCCUUCCUGGCAGAGAAACUGUCCCAGCACUCUGGGCUGAAAAAGAGAGGCUUGCAGAAGGAGUCCUCCCAGCCUGCCUCUGGGUUUCUUGCAUCCAUGGAGGUCAGGGUGUCCAUGAAACAGUCAGACACCAGGCUUGCCCAGCCUAGCACUCCAGCCAGCUCUCUCACAACAGCACUGGCCCAGACACCCUGAACUUGCACUUUGACCUAGACGAGUUUUCCAUGGCCCAGAAAGGAUACUAAGUGACAGGAUCCAUCUACUCAAGAAAAUGAGGCCAGGAGCCCUCCCCAGCAUCUCCAGCUCAAGCCUGGACUGCCACAGCUAACCUGCAGGGGCAGCACAAGACAGCUCCUUCCUGCAGUAUUCACAACACUCCAAACAUGUGCCACCUACUGUGAUCACACCGGGUACAGCAGUGACUAAGAAACACAGGUCCCUUCCUCAAAAUCAUCAGGAAAUGGUCCAGGUGGCACCUAAGUGCUAUGAUGGACAGAGGAAACACAGCAGCAGGGAGAAAUGUCCAGAAGGAGGCCUCAGAGGGCCUGGGGUCUAACCCUACCCACCUGCACAGCUCACACGGACAGCCAGCUUCCCAGAGCAUGUAUCUGCCUGCAUAUUCUAUGCCGUGAAUGAGGCUGAAAUUGUCUUCAUUCUGUCCCUAGCACACAAGAGCUUUGAAAAACAGCCCACAAAUUUCAGCCAGGGACACUAUUAGAUUAACAAAGACCCUUGAAAUGAAGCCUGUCAUUUUCGAGAACUCCUUCAAAACAAAAUCGUGACAGGGCCUUCAAAAUCAGCCGGCUGAGUCUGCGUCAACAUGAGACCUUGCCCGCCAUCAUCCGCCUGUGACAGCACUGCCUAAUGGGUUUUGUGCGUGGGAGAGCUGAGCUGCCAUGGACGUUUACGUGAAAUACACAAGCAGGCUCUGGCCUGAGUACCUGCCCCUGUCAAACUUCUUUUGUAAUCAGUGGGGAGAGGUGGAAAGGCUCUGGAGACUAACAGAUGUAGGUCUUGCUGCUUUCUCUGUGUGUAGUCACCCUGCAGCUGCACCCAAACACCUGCUACAUGCCUCCCCACACUAGGUGCUAGGAUAGCUGCUGCUCAGACCUGUGAGAAGGAGACAGGACACGCAUACUAAAGGAGGUAGGGCAGGAGACCAGCCUCCAAGAAUCCAGGACCAUCUGAGCCCUGUGAACUGUGAGGCCAUAUCCCCAAGCACAGUUUUUAUACAAUUGUUUGGGUGCCUGGGCAAGGUAGAAGCAAGUGAGCCAUUUGUCUACAGCUGCUGCACUCACUCUGGCCUGCCUGGACCACAGACGUGGGUGAAGACAGACAGGCUCUUCAGAGAGCACAUGUGACUGACAGGCCCAGCCACUGGGCAGGUGAUAAGGUCAUAUGGCCCAGUAUUGGGGACAAUGUAGCCUUGCCAAGCCUCAGUUUUCCUGUCAGUGUGACGGGACAAUAAAACUCUUAUGCUAGGAGAUGGUAGGUGUGCAGCGAAGCUGGUGUUGAUCUAACCUAGGCGGUGAAAACUGCUGUUGCUACAAGAACGCCUAGUGACAGACAGUACAAGCCUGA
rnacentral:lncRNA from 1 species